rnacentral:rRNA from 1 species
AACCGUAAGGUGCGGGGGUCUGAGUGCGAGGGAGAAUGUUGGCAUGAGUAGCGAAAUGUGGGUGGGAAUCCCGCAGGCCGAAUACCUAAGGUUUCCUCGGGAAGGGUCGUCCGCUGAGGGUUAGUCGGGACCUAAGCUGAGGCCGAAAGGCGUAAGCGAUAGACAAUCGGUUGAUAUUCCGAUACCACUAUUAUCGUUAUUAUCGAUGGUGUGACGGAGAAGGAUAGGAUGUGCUAGCUAUUGGAUGCUAGACUAAGCGGUUAGGGAGGUAGAACAGGAAAAUCCGUUCUAACAAUUCUUGGGGGGGCUGGGGAAGGUUUUAAGGAACCGAAGACUCUGAUUCCACGCUUUCACGAAAAGCCUCUAGUAAGGGA